GAUGAACGCUGGCGGCGUGCCUAAUACAUGCAAGUCGAGCGAACAGACGAGGAGCUUGCUCCUCUGACGUUAGCGGCGGACGGGUGAGUAACACGUGGAUAACCUACCUUUAGGACUGGGAUAACUUCGGGAAACCGGAGCUAAUACCGGAUAAUAUAUUGAACCGCAGGGUUCAAUAGUGAAAGACGGUUUUGCUGUCACUUAUAGAUGGAUCCGCGCCGCAUUAGCUAGUUGGUAAGGUAACGGCUUACCAAGGCAACGAUGCGUAGCCGACCUGAGAGGGUGAUCGGCCACACUGGAACUGAGACACGGUCCAGACUCCUACGGGAGGCAGCAGUAGGGAAUCUUCCGCAAUGGGCGAAAGCUUGACGGAGCAACGCCGCGUGAGUGAUGAAGGUCUUCGGAUCGUAAAACUCUGUUAUUAGGGAAGAACAAAUGUGUAAGUAACUAUGCACGUCUUGACGGUACCUAAUCAGAAAGCCACGGCUAACUACGUG
rnacentral:rRNA from 1 species